CUCGAGAUUCUGCUUGCUUCCAACGGGCUGCUCUACCCAAGAUGUGAGUGGCUGCCACAAGGACGCCCGGUGAGAUUGGAGGAGCCAGUCGAGCCCUCUUGAAUCGCUGCCUGCAGAUUUUGAGAUGAUGUUUUUACGCUCCUGAUCAACAGCUGUAACUUAAAGCUUCUAUACAGUAGAAAAACUUCAAAAUCCAAUCUGUCUUUGCAAAAUUGGAAAGCCACUGGAAACUUUUAAGUUCAUGUCGAAGAAAACCCAGCCACUGUAUGAAGACAGAGUGUGCUCUUGCUGAUGCAGCUGAAAUGAAGUUAGCCCAGCAUCCUCAGUAUAAUGACCUCCGUGUUGUCCAGUCUGCGCUAUCGCAACGUAGAGACCCGAGCCUCUGGAAGUGAGUGGGCGAAAAUAGCGGAAGGAAAAGAAUCAGGAUCUGGUGGGAGGAGGGCACUGUGAGCAUCAGAAGUACCACGACCACCUUAUAUGUGUUGCCUCUCUCUGUCCUGGCCGAAGACCCGUGUCAGGGUGGCACCAGGUUCCUGGUCAUGCAGAAGAACAACCUAAAAGUAAGACUCCAGCUUGUGUUUGGGCACAAAUUGCUUCAAGGGCAAGUGAUUUCUAGCGAAGCCCUAGAACGAGUUGAAAUCAAAAUUAGGAGCAUAAAUCCAACUGGCUCUUUUGCAUUGGGCCAGUUCAUCUGCACAUCAUCGCCUGGCACUUCUCCAUUUGAGGACAAAAGUGGACUUGGAGCUUGCAACAAGAAUUCACUCCCUCCUCGGAGAGCACCGUGGAAGAGCAGAGACACAGGCUUUUGAACCAGACCCCAGCUCCUGCCAGGAGCCCGUUGCUGUGCUUGUCACUGACGACCUGGGUGAUUCCAGCCGGGAGCGCCCUUCUCCAGCUGUGUGGGAGACGCACUUCACCUUGUGGCUCCGCCCUCCAAAGGCGACGUUUGCCGCGCACAGAAGAACCGUUGACUCUGCCGAUCGGGAACGUCUCAUUGCACCCUUUUUCCACGCCAUCUGUCUGACCUGGACCCAUUCCAAGCACUACGGCUUUGCUGGCAGAAUGGUCUUCCUGCUACAGAAGUUUUGUAAUCUGCUAAUUGACAGGGCAUCCCGUUUGUGCACGAUCACGCGCUCUCCCCUGCGUUCUCUGCCUCAUUGAGAAUACGGCAUCCUUCGGAGAAGAACACCGAUAUGAUCUACCAGAGAAUUAUCCUCUACUUAGUUUACUCAUUAAGCGAUGAUUUUAUUAUUAUGAUCUCUUUGUAGUAUGAGACAGAUGGCAAAGAAGGAGUUUGCUUUACUGAACAAGACGCAGUGUUGAGCAUGGCAAAUCUCCUGAAUGGUUAAUAUCUCCGGUCGUCAUUCUGCCUAAUGAGCGUCUUUGCUUUUGUGCAAGGCCUGGUCCUACACUCAGCUCUUAAUUUAGGCGCAAAGUUGUUAUCAAUCCCCUUUUUGUGCACAGAGGCUGAGGGUAGAAGACUCCUAGAGAAGGAAAUACCAUUAAAAUCGUGCUGUUCAAGUUCACAUAUGUGCUGGUCCUCAUCCUGAAAUCUUGGUGUGAGCAAACCCCACGUCAGCAAGGGUGGUUGUGCGCGAUGAUCAGACCGUGUCCCUAAAGCACGAUCCCCUCUAUGUGGGAGCUACAGGCCCAUUUUGGGGGUUGUGCACGGGUGCGGGGUGAUCCUGAGACUCUGGCCUCCACAGGC